CCAUGGUGUGCACACCUGUAGUCCCAGCUACUUGGGAGGCUGAGGCAGGAGGAUCACUUGAGCCCAGAUCAGCCUGGGCAAUGUAGUGAGACCUCAUCUCAA
rnacentral:sRNA from 1 species